UUUCAGAAGUAUGUUAUAAUUUAAGAACUAUUAGUAUGGGCAUCGUCCCUCUGUUAAAAUCAGAGUAGUCAAUCACUUUACGACGAUGACUUCCCAAUAGAUUUCUACCUUCAGUAAAUGCAUCAUUAGCUGUUCCUGGGACUAUGCUGCAUCAUGGAAGAUUACCAUCAAAACAGUGGGGAUCUGUUGGUCAUCUUACUGAAAGAGACCCACACGACAAAAAA